GACGAACGCUGGCGGCGUGCCUAAUACAUGCAAGUCGAACGCACUCUCGUUUAGAUUGAAGGAGCUUGCUCCUGAUUGAUAAACAUUUGAGUGAGUGGCGGACGGGUGAGUAACACGUGGGUAACCUGCCCUAAAGUGGGGGAUAACAUUUGGAAACAGAUGCUAAUACCGCAUAAAACCUAAACACCGCAUGGUGUAGGGUUGAAAGAUGGUUUCGGCUAUCACUUUAGGAUGGACCCGCGGUGCAUUAGUUAGUGGUGAGGUAAAGGCUCACCAAGACCGUGAAUGCAUAGCCGACCUGAGAGGGUAAUCGGCCACACUGGGACUGAGACACGGCCCAGACUCCUACGGGAGGCAG
rnacentral:rRNA from 1 species